rnacentral:misc_RNA from 1 species
CUUUCCGCCGCCUCCGCGUUGUCUUUCACAGCCCGCCACCAAUAGCCCCACUUCGAUUCGACGAUGGCGAACGUCACCAGCCAGGUGACUGCGAACAGCGCGAGCGCGAAAUAGAAGUAAGGCGCCUUGUCGCGGGCAAACUGCAAGGUCCACCACGAGUCCGGCGUAAACGGCCACUGGAUGCCGAGCGCCGCGCCCGCAUAAUCCCAGUUAUGGAACAGCAGCAGACCUAUUUCGGCGAUCACGAUGGUCGCGAUCGAGAAAUAAUGCCCCUUGAGCCGGAAGCACGGAUAGCCAAGCGCCAGCGCAAUCAGCGCGGCGAUGA